CCUACGGGAGGCAGCAGUAGGGAAUUUUCGUCCAUGGGCGCAAGCCUGAACGAGCGAUGCCGCGUGAGUGAAGAAGGCCUUCGGGUCGUAAAGCUCUGUUGCGGGGGAAAAAAGGCAGCAUCAGGAAAUGGGUGCUGCCUGAUGGUGCCCCACCAGAAAGUCACGGCUAACUACGUGCCAGCAGCCGCGGUAAUACGUAGGUGGCGAGCGUUAUCCGGAAGGAUUGGGCGUAAAGGGUGCGCAGGCGGUCCUGCAAGUCUGGAGUGAAACGCAUGAGCUCAACUCAUGCAUGGCUUUGGAAACUGGAGGACUGGAGAGCAGGAGAGGGCGGUGGAACUCCAUGUGUAGCGGUAAAAUGCGUAGAUAUAUGGAAGAACACCAGUGGCGAAGGCGGCCGCCUGGCCUGUUGCUGACGCUGAGGCACGAAAGCGUGGGGAGCAAAUAGGAUUAGAUACCCUAGUAGUC
rnacentral:rRNA from 1 species